rnacentral:rRNA from 1 species
CCUACGGGUGGCAGCAGUAGGGAAUAUUGCUCAAUGGGGGAAACCCUGAAGCAGCAACGCCGCGUGGAGGAUGAAGGUUUUCGGAUUGUAAACUCCUUUUGUUAGAGAAGAUAAUGACGGUAUCUAACGAAUAAGCACCGGCUAACUCCGUGCCAGCAGCCGCGGUAAUACGGAGGGUGCAAGCGUUACUCGGAAUCACUGGGCGUAAAGGGCGCGUAGGCGGGAUAGCAAGUCAGAUGUGAAAUCCUAUGGCUUAACCAUAGAACUGCAUUUGAAACUGUUAUUCUAGAGUAUGGGAGAGGUAUGUGGAAUUCUUGGUGUAGGGGUGAAAUCCGUAGAGAUCAAGAGGAAUACUCAUUGCGAAGGCGACCUGCUAGAACAUAACUGACGCUGAUGCGCGAAAGCGUGGGGAGCAAACAGGAUUAGAUACCCCAGUAGUC